rnacentral:misc_RNA from 1 species
GAACGCACAUUGCGCCCGCCAGUAUUCUGGCGGGCAUGCCUGUCCGAGCGUCAUUUCAACCCUCGAACCCCUCCGGGGGGUCGGCGUUGGGGAUCGGCCCUUUACGGGGCCGGCCCCGAAAUACAGUGGCGGUCUCGCCGCAGCCUCUCCUGCGCAGUAGUUUGCACACUCGCAUCGGGAGCGCGGCGCGUCCAAUGCCGUAAAACAACUCUCCUCCUGGAAGUUGACCUCGGAUCAGGUAGGGAUACCCGCUGAACUUAAG